rnacentral:lncRNA from 1 species
GCUGUCACUAAGUUAGGGAAGGCAAAAUACUACGUGGCGACUUGGCGAAGAGGAGAGAGUUCCCACCAGGCUGACUCCAGAACCGCAGAAGGCUGAGAACCAGCAGCCCAGAGACGGGAGACCUAUAUCAAAGCUGCCUGGGGAACAACUACUGAAGAAGCCCUUAACGCCCCAGUGCUCUCCCCACAUGGUGGAGGGUGAAAGUUUUUGUUUUUUUUUCCUUCUGGGACUCUGCAUAGUCCCAGAGAAAAGGCCUAAGCACCUCAUCCCCAAAAACAACCUGAGGAGGCCGUUGGAAAGCUCCGAGUUGACAAGUCUCAUCCACGCACAUGCUCGGUGCUUCCAAUCGGUGAUCAAGACCACUGCUCUUCAUCCAGAGCAGGCAGCAGGGAUUCCCAGGUAUCCAAAGAAACCAAAACAGGCGGUGUAAUUUAGGACUGACUAAGUAAUGGCUCGGCCACUUUUAAGUGUGGAAGCAAAACUGACCCCACAGAUUUAGAAAACUGUAACACUGCUUAUUGGGAGAAACUAGUGUCACCCUGGCUAGUUCUGCUCCCCAAAUUCAAAGGUAAAUAAACGGUUGAGCAUGUCCGAUCA